rnacentral:rRNA from 1 species
AUUGAACGCUGGCGGCAUGCCUUACACAUGCAAGUCGAACGGUAACGGGCCUUCGGGUGCCGACGAGUGGCGAACGGGUGAGUAAUGCAUCGGAACGUACCUUUCAGUGGGGGAUAACGUAGCGAAAGUUACGCUAAUACCGCAUAUUCUGUGAGCAGGAAAGCAGGGGAUCGCAAGACCUUGCGCUGAUUGAGCGGCCGAUGUCAGAUUAGCUAGUUGGUGGGGUAAAGGCUCACCAAGGCGACGAUCUGUAGCGGGUCUGAGAGGAUGAUCCGCCACACUGGAACGGAGACACGGUCCAGACUCCUACGGGAGGCAGCAGUGGGGAAUUUUGGACAAGGGGGGCAACCCUGAUUCAGCCAUGCCGCGUGAGUGAAGAAGGCCUUCGGGUUGUAAAGCUCUUUCGGCCGGGAAGAAAUCGUAUGGGCUAAUACCCUGUGCGGAUGACGGUACCGUCAUAAGAAGCACCGGCUAACUACGUGCCAGCCGCCGCCGUAAUAC